rnacentral:rRNA from 1 species
GGAGGCGCCCAAAGGUUCCCUCAGAAUGGUUGGAAAUCAUUCGCAGAGUGUAAAGGCACAAGGGAGCUUGACUGCGAGACCUACAAGUCGAGCAGGGACGAAAGUCGGGCUUAGUGAUCCGGUGGUUCCGCAUGGAAGGGCCAUCGCUCAACGGAUAAAAGCUACCCCGGGGAUAACAGGCUUAUCUCCCCCAAGAGUCCACAUCGACGGGGAGGUUUGGCACCUCGAUGUCGGCUCAUCGCAUCCUGGGGCUGUAGUCGGUCCCAAGGGUUGGGCUGUUCGCCCAUUAAAGCGGUACGCGAGCUGGGUUCAGAACGUCGUGAGACAGUUCGGUCCCUAUCCGUCGCGGGCGCAGGAAAUUUGAGAGGAGCUGUCCUUAGUACGAGAGGACCGGGAUGGACGCACCGCUGGUGUACCAGUUGUUCUGCCAAGGGCAUCGCUGGGUAGCUAUGUGCGGACGGGAUAAGUGCUGAAAGCAUCUAAGCAUGAAGCCCCCCUCAAGAUGAGAUUUCCCAUUCCGCAAGGAAGUAAGAUCCCUGAAAGAUGAUCAGGUUGAUAGGUCUGAGGUGGAAGCGUGGUGACACGUGGAGCUGACAGAUACUAAUAGAUCGAGGACUUAACCUAU